CUGCUAGUGGUUUGGAACACAUUAAAGGCCAGCAGAGUGGCUUCAGGCUUGGCUGGGACCUGAGUGAUUCUCAGAGGGCCAACUUGCAGGAAUUCUGCUCAUAGCUGAAGUACAAUGACAUUGCCUGCUGCUGAAAGGGCUCAUCUGCUUAAUGCUUCUCCAACAUGUCUGCUGAAAAAGAUUUGCCGUCAGGAGCUUUAUCUCCUCACCCUUCCAGAACAACUUCUGAACAUUCCACACAGACCUUGCCAUCAAAGGGAGAGGAUAUUAACAUGAAGCUAAAAGAGGAGAGUCUGCAGGAUGAACCUCCAUUCACCAUAGAGCAAGAGUCUUUGGAGAAGGAAGAAUAUCCAGAGGAAGAAGAGUCUCUGGAGGAGGAAGAAUUUCCAGAGGAGGAAGAGUUUCUGGAGGAGGAAGAAUAUCCAGAAGAGGAAGAGUCUCUGGAGGAAGAUAUGUUUUUGGAGGGAGAAAAUUAUCUGAAAGGAAAAGAGGAUCUUUUUAAAGAAGAGGAUUUGAAGGAGAAAAUGCAUGUGGAAGAAAAAGAGUAUCCUUUUGAAAAGUAUCUGGAACAAAGUGAGUAUCUAUAAGGAAGAGAAUAUCUAGAGAAAGAAAUUUGUCUGGGAGACAGUAUCUGUACGAAGGAGAGCAUCGGAGAGUGAGGGCCCCCCAGAGGAUGGUAGCUCUAGUUCACCACAAUGCCGAGAAGAAAGAACAAAACCUGAGGCGCAGCCAACCACAGACUACUAACCCUAUCCAUGGUGCUGACAGAAUUUAAGGAGUUAUUCAACAGGAAUUCUGACUACUCUUGAUGGAAGGAGCUCAGCUGCCAGUACUUUUCAGGAAAGCAAGUCUAUUACCAUCCCGCAUAUCUUCACUACCCCUGUUCCUGCCUCUGAGCCUGCCAUGGAGUUUGCCCUGGAGUUGUCUUCCUGCUGCCUGAUGGUUCCUACGUCUUCCCUAAGACACCAGGCUAGUCAGACAGAAUGGACCUAUGAGGGAAAAUCUUCAAUAUCAAAACUGAAAACAGAUCAAGGAAUCUCAAUACUAUCCACUAUGAAGUCUGAUUUGGAAGUUGCCUCUGAAAUGGAGCAAGAUGAAGAUGAAGAUGGAGAUGAUGGUCAUUUCCACGGCUGCAGAGAUGACAGAUUGGAGAAGUGGGAAGACUAAGGACAGGAAGAAGAGUAACCCCACAGAAGCAGUACAGAUGAACAAAUAAUAAAGACUGGUUGCUUUGGGCCCUGCCCAAUACACCUGCCAUGACGUAGGACAUAGUAAACUCUAUAAACUGGGAAGCUGAAGAGAGGAAGAAGGGCAUGUUUGUACAGUAAAGUAGAAAGUUCCAUUUGGGACACUGUGAAUUUCAAGUAUGUGUUAAACAUCCAGACGAAGCCCAGGUGAAAACCAGAAAUAGCC
ensembl:lncRNA